rnacentral:rRNA from 1 species
AACGCUGAGGUGUGAUGACGAGGCACUACGGUGCUGAAGUGACAAAUGCCCUGCUUCCAGGAAAAGCCUCUAAGCAUCAGGUAACAUCAAAUCGUACCCCAAACCGACACAGGUGGUCAGGUAGAGAAUACCAAGGCGCUUGAGAGAACUCGGGUGAAGGAACUAGGCAAAAUGGUGCCGUAACUUCGGGAGAAGGCACGCUGAUGGUAGGUGAAGCGACUUGCUCGUGGAGCUGAAAUCAGUCGAAGAUACCAGCUGGCUGCAACUGUUUAUUAAAAACACAGCACUGUGCAAACACGAAAGUGGACGUAUACGGUGUGACGCCUGCCCGGUGCCGGAAGGUUAAUUGAUGGGGUUAUCCGUAAGGAGAAGCUCUUGAUCGAAGCCCCGGUAAACGGCGGCCGUAACUAUAACGGUCCUAAGGUAGCGAAAUUCCUUGUCGGGUAAGUUCCGACCUGCACGAAUGGCGUAAUGAUGGCCAGGCUGUCUCCACCCGAGACUCAGUGAAAUUGAACUCGCUGUGAAGAUGCAGUGUACCCGCGGCAAGACGGAAAGACCCCGUGAACCUUUACUAUAGCUUGACACUGAACACUGGUCCUUGAUGUGUAGGAUAGGUGGGAGGCUUUGAAGUGUGGACGCCAGUCUGCAUGGAGCCAUCCUUGAAAUACCACCCUUUAAUGGCUGGUGUUCUAACGUGGGCCCCUGAUCGGGGUUGCGGACAGUGUCUGGUGGGUAGUUUGACUGGGGCGGUCUCCUCCUAAAGAGUAACGGAGGAGCACGAAGGUCAGCUAAUCCUGGUCGGACAUCAGGAGGUUAGUGCAAUGGCAUAAGCUGGCUUGACUGCGAGCGUGACGGCGCGAGCAGGUGCGAAAGCAGGUCAUAGUGAUCCGGUGGUUCUGAAUGGAAGGGCCAUCGCUCAACGGAUAAAAGGUACUCCGGGGAUAACAGGCUGAUACCGCCCAAGAGUUCAUAUCGACGGCGGUGUUUGGCACCUCGAUGUCGGCUCAUCACAUCCUGGGGCUGAAGUAGGUCCCAAGGGUAUGGCUGUUCGCCAUUUAAAGUGGUACGCGAGCUGGGUUUAGAACGUCGUGAGACAGUUCGGUCCCUAUCUGCCGUGGGCGCUGGAGAAUUGAGGGGGGCUGCUCCUAGUACGAGAGGACCGGAGUGGACGCAUCACUGGUGUUCGGGUUGUCAUGCCAAUGGCAUUGCCCGGUAGCUAAAUGCGGAAGAGAUAAGUGCUGAAAGCAUCUAAGCACGAAACUUGCCCCGAGAUGAGUUCUCCCUGACCCUUUAAGGGUCCUGAAGGAACGUUGAAGACGACGACGUUGAUAGGCCGGGUGUGUAAGCGCAGCGAUGCGUUGAGCUAACCGGUACUAAUGAACCGUGAGGCUUAACC